GAUGAACGCUAGCUACAGGCUUAACACAUGCAAGUCGAGGGGCAGCACUAGGUAGCAAUACGUGAGGUGGCGACCGGCGCACGGGUGCGUAACGCGUAUCCAACCUUCCCGUUACUCUUGGAUAGCCUUCCGAAAAGGGAGAUUAAUACAAGAUGGUAUUCAAAUUCCGCAUGUUAUUUGAAUUAAAGAUUUAUCGGUUAUGGAUGGGGAUGCGUAAGAUUAGGUAGUAGGCGGGGUAACGGCCCACCUAGCCGACGAUCUUUAGGGGUUCUGAGAGGAAGGUCCCCCACACUGGUACUGAGACACGGACCAGACUCCUACGGGAGGCAGCAGUGAGGAAUAUUGGUCAAUGGGCGGAAGCCUGAACCAGCCAAGUAGCGUGAAGGAUUACAGCCCUACGGGUUUUAAACUUCUUUUAUAUAAGAGUAAUGUGGUCUACGUGUAGAUUAUUGCAAGUAUUAUAUGAAUAAGCAUCGGCUAACUCCGUG
rnacentral:rRNA from 1 species